rnacentral:rRNA from 1 species
UACGUAGGGACCAAGCGUUGUUCGGAUUUACUGGGCGUAAAGGGCGCGUAGGCGGCCUAGCAAGUCACUUGUGAAAUCUCCGGGCUUAACUCGGAACUGCCAAGUGAAACUGCUGGGCUAGAGUGCAGAAGGGGCAAUCGGAAUUCUUGGUGUAGCGGUGAAAUGCGUAGAUAUCAAGAGGAACACCUGAGGUGAAGACGGGUUGCUGGGCUGACACUGACGCUGAUGCGCGAAAGCUAGGGUAGCAAACGGG